UACAGAGGUCUCAAGCGUUGUUCGGAUUCAUUGGGCGUAAAGGGUGCGUAGGCGGCGCGGUAAGUCGGGGUGUGAAAUCUCGGAGCUUAACUCCGAAACUGCAUUCGAUACUGCCGUGCUUGAGGACUGGAGAGGAGACUGGAAUUUACGGUGUAGCGGUGAAAUGCGUAGAUAUCGUAAGGAAGACCAGUGGCGAAGGCGGGUCUCUGGAC
rnacentral:rRNA from 1 species